rnacentral:rRNA from 1 species
UACGGAGGGUGCGAGCGUUGUCCGGAAUCACUGGGCGUAAAGGGCGCGUAGGCGGCCCGGUAAGUAGGAGGUGAAAUCCUGAGGCUCAACCUCAGGGCUGCCUUCUAAACUGCCAGGCUCGAGCACAGUAGAGGCAGGUGGAAUUCCCGGUGUAGCGGUGAAAUGCGUAGAGAUCGGGAGGAACACCAGAGGCGAAGGCGGCGACCUGGACAGGUACUGACACUCAACUACGAAAGCGUGGGGAGCAAACAGG